rnacentral:rRNA from 1 species
ACGGAAGGCAGCAGUGGGGAAUAUUGGGCAAUGGGCGAAAGCCUGACCUAGCAACGCCGCGUGAAGGAAGAAGGUCUUCGGAUUGUAAACUUCUUUUAUGAGGGACGAAGGACGUGACGGUACCUCAUGAAUAAGCCACGGCUAACUACGUGCCAGCAGCCGCGGUAAUACGUAGGUGGCAAGCGUUAUCCGGAUUUACUGGGUGUAAAGGGCGCGUAGGCGGGAGAGCAAGUCAGAUGUGAAAUCCAUGGGCUUAACCCAUGAACUGCAUUUGAAACUGUUCUUCUUGAGUGCUGGAGAGGUAGACGGAAUUCCUUGUGUAGCGGUGAAAUGCGUAGAUAUAAGGAAGAACACCAGUGGCGAAGGCGGUCUACUGGACAGUAACUGACGCUGAGGCGCGAAAGCGUGGGGAGCAAACAGGAUUAGAUACCCUGGUA